CACGUAGGGUGCGAGCGUGGUCCGGAAUUAUUGGGCGUAAAGAGCUCGUAGGCUGCUUGUCGCGUCUGCCGUGAAAGUCCGGGGCUCAACUCCGGAUCUGCGGUGGGUACGGGCAGACUAGAGUGAUGUAGGGGAGACUGGAAUUCCUGGUGUAGCGGUGAAAUGCGCAGAUAUCAGGAGGAACACCGAUGGCGAAGGCAGGUCUCUGGGCAUUAACUGACGCUGAGGAGCGAAAGCAUGGGGAGCGAACAGG
rnacentral:rRNA from 1 species